rfam:Danio rerio chromosome 18 genomic contig CTG1752, GRCz11 reference primary assembly.
CAUCACAGCCAUGUCACCCUGCAGCCCAAGACCGGUUACUCACUAAAGCUAAGCAGGGCUGAGUGUGGUCAGUACCUGGAUGGGAGACCACUACGGAACACUAGGUUGCUGUUGGAA